UAGGGAAUCUUCCGCAAUGGACGAAAGUCUGACGGAGCAACGCCGCGUGAGUGAUGAAGGUUUUCGGAUCGUAAAACUCUGUUGUUAGGGAAGAACAAGUAUCGGAGUAACUGCCGGUACCUUGACGGUACCUAACCAGAAAGCCACGGCUAACUACGUGCCAGCAGCCGCGGUAAUACGUAGGUGGCAAGCGUUGUCCGGAAUUAUUGGGCGUAAAGCGCGCGCAGGUGGUUUCUUAAGUCUGAUGUGAAAGCCCACGGCUCAACCGUGGAGGGUCAUUGGAAACUGGGGAACUUGAGUGCAGAAGAGGAAAGUGGAAUUCCAAGUGUAGCGGUGAAAUGCGUAGAGAUUUGGAGGAACCCCAGUGGCGAAGGCGACUUUCUGGUCUGUAACUGACACUGAGGCGCGAAAGCGUGGGGAGCGAACAGG
rnacentral:rRNA from 1 species